rnacentral:rRNA from 1 species
GACGAACGCUGGCGGCGUGCUUAACACAUGCAAGUCGAACGGAAAGGCCCUGCUUGUGUGUUGUGCUCGAGUGGCGAACGGGUGAGUAACACGUGAGUAACCUGCCCUUGAAUUUGGGAUAACUUCAGGAAACUGGGGCUAAUACCGGAUAUGAUCUCCUGUUGCACGGUGUGGGUUGGAGAGUUUCGGCGGUUGGGGAUGUACUCGCGGCUUAUGAGCUUGUUGGUGGGGUAGUGGCUUACCAAGGCUUUGACGGGUAGCCGGCCUGAGAGGGUGACCGGCCCCAUUGGGCCUGGGGUACGGCCCGGACUGCUACGGGAGGCAGCAGUGGGGAAUAUUGCACAAUGGGCGGAGGCCUGAUGCAGCAACGCCGCGUGCGGGAUGACGGCCUUCGGGUUGGAAACCGCUUUCGCCUGUGACGAAGAGUGAGUGACGGUAAUGGGUAAAGAAGCAACGGCUAACUACGUG